rnacentral:rRNA from 1 species
GAUGAACGCUGGCGGCGUGCCUAAUACAUGCAAGUCGAGCGAACAGACGAGGAGCUUGCUCCUCUGACGUUAGCGGCGGACGGGUGAGUAACACGUGGAUAACCUACCUAUAAGACUGGGAUAACUUCGGGAAACCGGAGCUAAUACCGGAUAAUAUAUUGAACCGCAUGGUUCAAUAGUGAAAGACGGUUUUGCUGUCACUUAUAGAUGGAUCCGCGCCGCAUUAGCUAGUUGGUAAGGUAACGGCUUACCAAGGCAACGAUGCGUAGCCGACCUGAGAGAGUGAUCGGCCACACUGGAACUGAGACACGGUCCAGACUCCUACGGGAGGCAGCAGUAGGGAAUCUUCCGCAAUGGGCGAAAGCCUUACGGAGCAACGCCGCGUGAGUGAUGAAGGUCUUCGGAUCGUAAAACUCUGUUAUUAGGGAAGAACAAAUGUGUAAGUAACUAUGCACGUCUUGACGGUACCUAAUCAGAAAGCCACGGCUAACUACGUG